GCCGGGGUGGCGCAACUGGUAGACGCAACUGGCUUAAACCCGGUCCCACCUGCGGGUUCGACUCCCGUCCCCGGCA
rnacentral:tRNA from 1 species